UCGAACUAAAAAAAAAUGCAUAGGUGGUUAGAUGGUAUUUGUAUUUAAGUAUUUCUCAAGGCUUAACACUCAAUUAGGACUUUAGGAACUUAGGCCUCUACAUUGUUUGUAUAAUUAGGCCAUCCUUCUAAGAAGCAUGGAGCUUGUGAAAUGGAAGAUCUCUGGUUCUGCAGAACAUCAUAAUGAAUUUAGUAUGUAAGUUUGACCCUCGGAACUGUGAAGAGCAGAAGAGCUCUGUAAAAGAAAGGGACAAAAAUCUGCACAGUCCUAAAGGAAGAGAAAGAGAGAAAGACAGAGAGAGAGAGAAGAAAUGAACAAAUGGAAGAUCAUAGGUAACAUAACAUAAGCCCCUUCAAGAGAGCCCCUCAAAACAUUCCAAAAGUCUGCAAAUGACAUGAAUGCUUGAGGUAGGGGAUUUUGUUGUGAAAAUCUGGAAAGGGUGGAGUUUAACAUUUGGGGUGAGUAAUAGCUCAAACCCAAGAGAUAAAGAAAACCAAGGAAAUUAGUAGAAACAUUGGGGAAGGCACAAGGAUUUCAGAAGCUGCAUAAUUGAGUAGUUCAUACUUGAGUGGUUCAUCUUACCUAGAUCUCCAGAGAGAGGAAGGUAGCAUCUGAUAUCUGACUUACAUAAUCAAUAAAUAUUUGUCGAAAGUUACAAUUAGGAGGAAUAAUUUGGGGGGUUCUAUUGCACAGUAGGGUGAAGACGGUUAACAGUAAGGUAUAUUACAAAACAGCUGGAAGAGGGUUUUUAAUGUUUUCACCAUAAAGAAAUGAUAAAUGCAUGUGGUGAUGAUGGAUAUGCUAAACCCUGAUUUGACCAUUACACAACAUAUACAUGUGUCUAAACAUCAAAUUUUAGGCCAUAAAUACAUACAAUUACAAUGUGUUAAUUUAAAAUAAAAUAAAUAAAUAAAUAUUUGUUGAAUGGUGAACUGGCACAAGUUACUUAACUUUGUAAUGUCUCAUUUCCUCUUCCAGCAAAUGGGGACAAGAAAAUCUACUUCUCGUCGCUGUGAGGAUUAAAUUCAUUAUGCAUGUAGCCCUGUAUCUGGCAUGUAAUAGGGCCUCAACCGGUGAAAAAUGUGAAUAAGGGAGCCACAUGAGGAAAAUGUUCUUUUUCCCUCAGAGC
rnacentral:lncRNA from 1 species